rnacentral:rRNA from 1 species
CUGCAUGGCUGUCGUCAGCUCGUGUCGUGAGAUGUGGGUUAAGUCCCGCAACGAGCGCAACCUCGCCUUUAGUGCCAUCAUUCAGUUGGGCACUCUAAAGGGACUGCCGGUGAUAAGCCGCGAGGAAGGUGGGGAUGACGUCAAGUCCUCAUGGCCCUUACGGGCUGGGCUACACACGUGCUACAAUGGCGGUGACAGUGGGAUGCAAAGGGGCGACCCCUCGCAAAUCUCAAAAAGCCGUCUCAGUUCGGAUUGUACUCUGCAACUCGAGUGCAUGAAGUUGGAAUCGCUAGUAAUCGUGGAUCAGCAUGCCACGGUGAAUACGUUCCCGGGCCUU